rnacentral:rRNA from 1 species
GACGAACGCUGGCGGCGUGCUUAACACAUGCAAGUCGAACGGAAAGGCCCUUCGGGGUACUCGAGUGGCGAACGGGUGAGUAACACGUGGGUGAUCUGCCCUGCACUUUGGGAUAAGCCUGGGAAACUGGGUCUAAUACCGAAUAGGACCACGCGCUUCAUGGUGUGUGGUGGAAAGCUUUUGCGGUGUGGGAUGGGCCCGCGGCCUAUCAGCUUGUUGGUGGGGUAAUGGCCUACCAAGGCGACGACGGGUAGCCGGCCUGAGAGGGUGACCGGCCACACUGGGACUGAGGUACGGCCCAGACUCCUACGGGAGGCAGCAGUGGGGAAUAUUGCACAAUGGGCGCAAGCCUGAUGCAGCGACGCCGCGUGAGGGAUGACGGCCUUCGGGUUGUAAACCUCUUUCAAUAGGGACGAAGCGCAAGUGACGGUACCUAUAGAAGAAGCACCGGCCAACUACGUG